GAGAAGGGAGAGGGAGCGCCUGGGACUCGAGACGGCGGCAGGUUCAAUUAGCUAAACAAAGAAAUCAUGGCGGAUUGUUUACAUUUGGCAGCGCCCGGGCUGCGCCGACCGCCGGCCCCGAGCCGCCGCGGGCUCCGAGGAGUCGGCCGAGCUGCUCCCGCGCCCUGGCCGGACGUUUGAAACUAUUGCUUUGCUGAAAACAUCUGACUGCCAGGCUAGGAUGUGACACUUAAGGGACUUACCAAUUUGGGAUUCUUCCAGGAGCUGAAAACUGAUUGCAAAUAUGAAACAGAUUUCACUACAGGACUUGAACCCUACAUUAAAAAACAACAAGCUCCCCAAAAUAAUUGAAAAAGAUCUUCACCAAAGAGUAGCUGCAAUGUGAAUGGCAGGAUAUGAAGCAAGUAAGAGCUUGAAAGUCACUUUUUGAUUUGUUCUACACACUUCGUCACGUGUUCACUGCACAGGAGAGGUCGACUGGCACUCUGCACUGAGCAGAAUCAUAUGUUACCCUCGCCCUGCCAUUUCCAUCAUUCCACUGUGCUCUCCCUGAACCAGAUGGUGAAAAGAUUAUCUUAAGCUUGGAAUUAAGUGAUGAAAGGGACCUUCGAAAUUAUCAACUCUAAAUACUUCUUUACAGGAAAAUUGAAAGCAGUUAAGAACCUGCCCCCUACCGUGGAGUUCUUGGUGCCGUGAGUUGGAGUUCUUGGUGCCUGGGUGCGUCCCCAAGGCCACUGGUCUUCAGAUCUUUCUUACUUGAGAAGAACGCCUCCGCCUCCUGGCUCUCCCACCAGUGGUAUUGCCACCACCACACACCAGCAUAAAGCACAGAUUGCUGCCCAGCUCCUUGGAGAGGGGCCAGUGCAUUUGUCAGGAAUUGAAAAGUUUUGGAGCCAGUUCGAGGACUUUCUCCUGCACAAAGUGUUGGCUGGAAGCAUGAAGCAAUAACACAUGGUUUGCCAAAGAAUCUGCAUUGAAUAAUACUGGUGGUGACCACAAGAACAUGCCUCUCUGACUGCAAGGAACAAGAGUGACCCAGGGUUUCAGCUGCUGCCUUGGAAAUUCAUCACAGUGCAAGUCUAUGCUUCCCACGGGCUGCUCCCAGCCUGUGAAUAAGCCUGGCAUCUUUGUUGAGGCAGGCCUAUUUCUGGAGAUGCAGGAUCCUCCGAUGGGCGAAUUUGGCUCUAGGACUGCUUGAUGGCCUUGACAGACUUUCCUUAGAAAUGCAUGGCAAUUUAGGGUUCCUCCACCCUUCCCUCUUUCUCUCCUUCACCUAGGGUCGGACUUGCAUCAUGGCCUGAAAGCUCCACCAGCCUCUCCUGCCCUCCUCCUCAUUUUCUUUCACAGGCAUAUCCUCUAAUAAAUUUCUUGCACAUUGAAUCUCAUCUUGGCAUCUACUUAUUGGAGGAUCUGAAAAUUCACAUUUUUAACACAAUAAUAAAAUUCACAUUUUUUCAUCAUCCACUAUAUGCCAAGUAAUGUGUUACUGUGUAGUCUCAUUAAAUCCUCUCAAAUCCAAGAGAUAAGAAUUACAUUUAUUUUACAAGAAGAAAAGCAGUCACUCUGAGAGGUAAAAUAAUGUAUAUGGCAGUAGAUUGCAGAGUUAGCAUUUGAAGAAUGUUCGGUUGUACUCCAAAGCCCACCACAAAACUCCACCACUAAACCACAGCACCUUUGGAGCAAUUGGAAUGACGAUUCUGUUCAAAUCAUAUUAAUACCAAUCACUGUAUUUGACUUUUUCGUUUAGAUGUGGCUGUGAUUGAAAAAUCAUGGUCUUUGUAUAUAGUCACCUGUUCUAUCUGCCUUUGUUUUGGGGGACUGCCACCUGAAAUUCCUGACUUUUACCCUGGGAGGGGCUUGUGCAGAGGAUCUGAGUUACUCAUCUGAACGGACUGCCUAAAGACACCUCAGUUUGUGUUGUCUGUGCAUUCACUCAGCCUCCAUAGCUAAACUAAGAUGCUGGGAAUGAGAGACUGUUCAAGGAGUAGAAGCCUUGCUUCUAGCUUCUAUAUUCC
rnacentral:lncRNA from 1 species